GAUGAAGAACGCAGCGAAAUGCGUUAAGUAGUGUGAAUUGCAGAAUUCAGUGAAUCAUCGAAUCUUUGAACGCACAUUGCGCCCCUUGGUAUUCCAUGGGGCAUGCCUGUUCGAGCGUCAUUUGUACCUUCAAGCUUUGCUUGGUGUUGGGUGUUUGUCUCGCCUUUGCGUGUAGACUCGCCUUAAAAUAAUUGGCAGCCGGCGUAUUGAUUUCGGAGCGCAGUACAUCUCGCUCUUUGCACUCAUAACGACAGCGUCCAAAAGUACAUUUUACACUCUUGACCUCGGAUCAGGUAGGGAUACCCGCUGAACUUAAGCAUAUCAAUAAGCGGAGGA
rnacentral:misc_RNA from 1 species